rnacentral:rRNA from 1 species
UACGAGAGGCCCAAACGUUAUUCGGAAUUACUGGGCUUAAAGAGUUCGUAGGCGGCGCAGAAAGUAGGGUGUGAAAGCCCUCGGCUCAACCGAGGAAUUGCGCUCUAAACUACUGUGCUUGAGGAACCUAGAGGUGAGCAGAACUGAUGGUGGAGCGGUGAAAUGCGUUGAUAUCAUCAGGAAUACCGGAGGCGAAGGCGGCUCACUGGGGGUUUUCUGACGCUGAGGAACGAAAGCCAGGGUAGCGAACGGG